rnacentral:rRNA from 1 species
CCUACGGGAGGCUGCAGUCACGAAUAUUCCUCAAUGCACGCAAGUGUGAAGGAGCGACGCCGCGUGCCAGAUGAAGCCCUUUGGGGUGUAAAUGGCGUUUAUUGGAGACGAACUAAUGACGCUAUCCAAAGAAUAAGAGGUUGCUAACUCUGUGCCAGCAGCAGCGGUAAUACAGAGACCUCAAGCGUUAUCCGGAUUUAUUGGGCGUAAAGCGUCUGUAGGCGGUUUUGCGCAUCUUUUGUUAAAUUUCACGGCUUAACCGUGAAACCGCAAGAGAGAUGGCAAGACUCGAGGCCGGGAGAGGCAAGCGGAACUGCCGGUGUAGUAGUAAAAUGCGUUGAUAUCGGCAGGAACACCAAAGGCGAAAGCAGCUUGCUAGAACGGUCCUGACGCUCAGAGACGAAAGCGUGGGGAGCGAAACGGAUUAGAUACCCUAGUAGUC